rnacentral:rRNA from 1 species
UAGGGAAUCUUCCACAAUGGACGCAAGUCUGAUGGAGCAACGCCGCGUGAGUGAAGAAGGGUUUCGGCUCGUAAAGCUCUGUUGGUAGUGAAGAAAGAUAGAGGUAGUAACUGGCCUUUAUUUGAUGGUAAUUACUUAGAAAGUCACGGCUAACUACGUGCCAGCAGCCGCGGUAAUACGUAGGUGGCAAGCGUUGUCCGGAUUUAUUGGGCGUAAAGCGAGUGCAGGCGGUUCAAUAAGUCUGAUGUGAAAGCCUUCGGCUCAACCGGAGAAUUGCAUCAGAAACUGUUGAACUUGAGUGCAGAAGAGGAGAGUGGAACUCCAUGUGUAGCGGUGGAAUGCGUAGAUAUAUGGAAGAACACCAGUGGCGAAGGCGGCUCUCUGGUCUGCAACUGACGCUGAGGCUCGAAAGCAUGGGUAGCGAACAGGAUUAGAUACCCUGGUAGUCCAUGCCGUAAACGAUGAGUGCUAAGUGUUGGGAGGUUUCCGCCUCUCAGUGCUGCAGCUAACGCAUUAAGCACUCCGCCUGGGGAGUACGACCGCAAGGUUG